GAAUUGAUUUGGGAACAACCAACUCCGUUGUUGCCGCAAUCGAAGCAACACAAACAACAGUUAUACCAAAU
rnacentral:tRNA from 1 species